GACGAACGCUGGCGGCGUGCUUAACACAUGCAAGUCGAACGGAAAGGCCCUGCUUUUGUGGGGUGCUCGAGUGGCGAACGGGUGAGUAACACGUGAGUAACCUGCCCUUGACUUUGGGAUAACUUCAGGAAACUGGGGCUAAUACCGGAUAGGAGCUCCUGCUGCAUGGUGGGGGUUGGAAAGUUUCGGCGGUUGGGGAUGGACUCGCGGCUUAUCAGCUUGUUGGUGGGGUAGUGGCUUACCAAGGGUUUGACGGGUAGCCGGCCUGAGAGGGUGACCGGCCACAUUGGGACUGAGAGACGGCCCAGACUCCUACGGGAGGCAGCAGUGGGGAAUAGUGCACAAUGGGCGGAAGCCUGAUGCAGCAACGCCGCGUGCGGGAUGACGGCCUUCGGGUUGUAAACCGCUUUCGCCUGUGACGAAGCGUGAGUGACGGUAAUGGGUAAAGAAGCACCGGCUAACUACGUG
rnacentral:rRNA from 1 species